CACCUGAAGACGGAGCACUUCCUCCGAGCAAACGGAAUCCCGGAACACGGUUUCCAAAAGCUCGUUCGCGUGCUUCUCCAAAUCUACGGCUCUGUUCUCCAACACGUGUAUGCUUUCCUAGAAAGUUUGGGUUUUUCGCGCGCAUUUUGUAUCGUGGUCAUCAUUUGAGCCAUCGGCUCCGCCAGACUCUCCAAGUGGAUCAACGCGUUCAAAUUUUGCAUCUCGAUCGAUCUGAACACGUUGAUCAGUUCGUACGGUUCCUUAAAAUACAAAUCUGCAGGACCUGCAUCGCUGAUAUCUUGCUCGAAAAAAUCUGCGAGAAAAACAAGUCGAAUUAUUCGUUUGAAACGGAGGGAGGGGAGAUAUUUGGUGCGUAAUCACCUAUAAGAGCGUCGAGGGAGGCAACUUCGCCCAGCAUUCUGUAACGGCCGAACAAAUCCUCCGUAUGGUCGUAAGUGAUGCUCUCCCCUGAAUGACUGCGAUGGAUCCAAUCGUGCUCCGUCCGCCAAGAAAUCGGAGCUAUCUGAUAGAGGAAUCGUUGGCACAUCUUCAUCAUUCUCCAACUCUCCUCCCAGUGGUAUACUUCCAAUCUGACCCGGCCAUACUCGACGGAGAGCUUGUUCCUGUGAUCCGUCAUCUCUCUAGUUUUCUUCGACUCGUUCUCAGCGAGUAAUAGAAGUUCCAUACUCUCCUCGUGAUCCUUCGAGAGAAAUUCCUCGAAACCGCUUAUGUAUCGACGAUAUCGUCGCUGGAAAAAAAAAAACACGGAUGGAUGGAAGAAUAAGCGAUUAUAUAAGAUAUUGGAUCGUGGAAAAUUUUUUCUUUUUUUUUUUUUUUUGAUUUAAAACAAACACCUUGA